rnacentral:lncRNA from 1 species
UCUGAUGGAAGACGGAAUGAAGCCGUUGGCUGAGCCAGCAGGUGCAAGCUUCAAGCGAGUGAGGCUCCAACUUCCAAGCAGCUACCGGAAUGAGCUUUUUAGGAUCAUGCUGCUCCUGGAUGAAUCCAUUCAGUGUCUUCUUCCUGACAGCUACAAAAGAGAAGAUGUCUAAUUUCAUGGUGAGGAUGCAGCAAGAAGGCAACAUCAAUGAGGAAUUAGGCCCUCACCAGGUACAAAAUCUGCCAUUAUCUUGAUCUUGAACUUCCUACCCUCCACAACUGUGAGUAAUAAAUGUUUGUUGUUUAUAAGCCACCCAGCCUAUGGUAUUUUGUCAUAGAAGCAUGAGUAGACUAAGCCUUCAUUUUCAAAGUGAACCAAUACACAGUUCAAGAUAAUUACUUCAGCCAAGCCAUCUCAUCCGUAUUCUAGACGCAGGAAGGUAAAUGGAUGAGGAGGAAGGGGACAAAGUGUGUGCUCUGGCUGCUUUUAAGGAAGAUUCCAAAAACAAGUCCCAUGAUAUUUCCCUGAACAUAUUAGACAGAAGUUACACAUCAGCCACACUCAACUACUAGACAGAAGUUACACACCAGCCAUGAACUCAUCUAGAAUUUGUGGAUCCUCUCAUUUGGAAGAAAGGUGGUAUGAACAUUGAAAGAAUAACUAGCAGUCUGUCACCCUCCCUGUAUGUAAUAGGCAAUGAUUUUGUCAACAUCUAUGCCUUUGUAUUUCCUCAUAGAUAGGACUAAGAUAUUUCAUAAUCACCAAAUUACAUCAGAAUUAUAAGUGAUAAUAUUAUUUAGUACCUUAGAGAUAAUAGAAGAAAUUUUAAAAUGUCAUGAACUUUGCUUCUUGCAUCUCUUCUGUUCCCGGUGUUCAAGUAAGAGACUAUUGAUAAUUGAGGAAAAUACCUUUGGGUGUCUUAUAUCCCC